rnacentral:rRNA from 1 species
GAUGAACGCUGGCGGCGUGCUUAACACAUGCAAGUCGAACGAUGAAGCCCAGCUUGCUGGGUGGAUUAGUGGCGAACGGGUGAGUAACACGUGAGAACCCGCCCUUAACCCUGGGAUAAGCCCGGGAAACUGGGGCUAAUACCGGAUAGGAGCGUCCAACGCAUGGUGGGUGUUGGAAAGAUUUAUCGGUUUUGGAUGGACUCGCGGCCUAUCAGCUUGUUGGUGAGGUAAUGGCUCACCAAGGCGACGACGGGUAGCCGGCCUGAGAGGGUGACCGGCCACACUGGGACUGAGACACGGCCCAGACUCCUACGGGAGGCAGCAGUGGGGAAUAUUGCACAAUGGGCGCAAGCCUGAUGCAGCGACGCCGCGUGAGGGAUGACGGCCUUCGGGUUGUAAACCUCUUUCAGUAGGGAAGAAGCGAAAGUGACGGUACCUGCAGAAGAAGCACCGGCUAACUACGU